CAGAGUCUUUGGAUGAAUUAUAUUUUGUUGGCAGAGUUUGAAGAAGAAGCCAAAGAAAUCAGGUCAUAAUGCCACUUUCAAGAUCAGUCUCUCAGGUGCCACAAGGACUUCUCGUUGUUCUUGCAGAACUUCCAAAGGAACUGAAUCUAGACAAUGGAAGUCACAUUUGCAAGAGGAAUACUGAAGCCUACUGAAAUCAAUAGAAGUCUUUUCUUUAACUUGGAGAGAUGGGGCAGUUGGCCUCAGACC